GAUGAACGCUGGCGGCGUGCUUAACACAUGCAAGUCGAACGAAGUGGCGAACGGGUGAGUAACGCGUAAUCAACCUGCCCUUCAGAGGGGGACAACAGUUGGUAACGACUGCUACUACCGCAUACUGAAGGAGGGGAUUGCGUCUGAUUAGCUAGUUGGAGGGGUAACGGCCCACCAAGGCGAUGAUCAGUAGCCGGUCCGAGAGGGUGAACGGCCACAUUGGGACUGAGACACGGGCCAGACUCCUACGGGAAGCAGCAGUGGGGAAUCUUCCGCAAUGGACGAGAGUCUGACGGAGCAACGCCGCGUGAGUGAUAACUGGCUUCAGGUUGUAAAGCUCUGUUAAUCGGGACGCGUUACCGGAAUAAAAAGCCACGGCUAACUACGUGCCAGCAGCCGCGGUAAUAC
rnacentral:rRNA from 1 species